rnacentral:rRNA from 1 species
AUGGAGCACCUCCCGGUUGAAGUUAUUGGCAACAUUCUUGCACAUCUUAGUGCUGCACGAGAUGUCAUGGUUUCCUCUGCGGUUUGCCGGAAGUGGCGGGAGGCCUGCAGGAAGCAUCUCCAUUCACUGUCCUUCAAUUCAGACGACUUUCCUCGGGACAUGACCACACGUCAACUGGAGAUCAUCAUCACACAGACUAUAUUCCAGACGAUGGGACUGCAAUGCCUCUCUAUUCAUAUAGAUAACACACAUGAGUUCUCCGCAGCACCUGUGAUUGCAUGGCUAAUGUAUACCAGGGAGACGCUCCGGUGCCUGUAUUACAACAUCCAAACCAACCCUAAUGUAAACAUCCUGGAGAAGUGUGGUAGACAGAAGCUGGAGGUGUUGGAUUUGGACCAUAACACAAUCACCGGUGUUGAACCAAGCUACCAGAGGUUCACUUGUCUUAAAUCCCUUUAUUUGAGGCAUGUGAGCAUUUCUGCCCUGGAUUUGAGCCUUCUAGUUGCUGCUUGCCCCAAGAUCGAGUCAUUGGCACUUGAUGUUCUUGAGAUUGUCACUUCUGAUUCGCAGUCUACAAUGGAAUUAACAAGCCAUACCUUGAAAAGCAUCUUUGUAAAAACAGUUGGCGUGGAUAAGAUCAUACUCGAUGCAGAUAAUCUGGAGGUCCUGCACCUGAAUGCUUUGAACCUUGAUCUGUUUGAGCUCUCUGGGAAGGGUACACUAAAGCAUCUCAAGAUUGAUGAUGUGAGUGUUACACAUUUGGAUAUUGGGGAGAGUACCGAUCAUCUGGAGGUUGUGGAUGUGAGUAACUUUAUGAUAGUCUGGCCAAAGUUCUACAGUAUGAUAUCUAGAGCAUGCAACUUGCGGGUGCUACGUUUCUGGGGUGUUGCGUUUGAUGAUGAUGAUGAGAUUGUGGACUUGGAGACUGUUGCUGUUGCAUUUCCUCUUCUAAGGCAUCUUUCACUAAGUUAUGAAUUACGAGAUGGGCUACUGCAAGGAUUGUCACCACUGGAGAAUGUUUCGGUUCUGGAACUUGGUUGGACAGUAAUAAGUGAGCACUUUGGACCUUGGGUGUUUGGAAUGAUUGAAAAAUGUCCAAAUCUCAAGAAACUUGUCAUUCAUGGUGUUCUUUCUGAGGCAAAAACACGCGAAGAGCGCAAGAUGUUAGCAACCUUCACUUCCUUUAUAGUUUGUCUCAUGAGGAAGUAUGUGCAUGUGGAUGUGCAAUUUGAGUAUGAGUGA